AUGUCGCCUCGUGCUGCGGCCUCCUCCUCCAUUCCUCGACUCGGCCAAGGAGAUGGGGACCAAGAUCUGGGGCAGCACGCCACUAUGACAGACUGCAGGAAGCCUCUCUGCUCUCAUUCACCGGUGUGGCCACCAUUGGCCAGAUCUUCACUACCUUGGGUGCGCUCUUUCCUAGCCGCCCUUAGAUCUCUCUACUUCUCCCUAUUUCUUGUUCCAUCGACCGACGACCUCCUCGCUGAUCGAGCCUCAUGCCAUUGUGACGGGCUGACGGGAAGCCUCUUCGGAGGAGCCAUCUAUGCAUCAACAUCGAUGGGGUUCCCCGACCAAAUGAGGGUGCUGAUCCCCCUUCUCAUGCUCUCAAUCGUCGGCACGGUCACCAUCAACCAGAUCUUCACUACCUCUGGCAUGCGUAUGGGCCAAAUGUUGUCCCACCAGCCUCGACCAAGUAGAUCUAUUAUCCGCUCGUCCCUAUCACCCUCACCCAUCAUCGGCGCAUCUUGCCUCAUCGCUCUUGCUGCCGAAUCAAUUGUGGGAACUGCGAUGGUGUGCCGCUUAGAGGCCAAGCCCUACUGGUCAGCUACUCGCGCGUCGCGGCGGCCUCCUCCAGAUCCACCCUGCUGCACGACCACGAUUGACUCUGGUGAGAUCCGACAUCACUUUUGCCUCUCAAAUCCCAAGUGUUUGAAGUGGUUCUCAUACUCGCUAAUGCUAUCUGUGGAUUGUCCGAUUUCCAUUUUCCAUGCAGGUACCACAGGAUCAGCCCGGAAUCCGUCCGAGUCCCCAAUGGCGGCGGCAGCGGCAUCGGAGCCACCAGGAAGCCAGCAGAACCCGCUGUCACCCACACCAAGCAUGGACAAGCAUGACGGCGCCCCAGCCGUGGAUGCCGACAGGUCGAGCCUCACGUCCUACCUCGCCCGCGCCUCGCUCAAGCAGCACCAGCCACAAGGGCGUCCGUCGUCCUCAUCUGCUGCCAUCAUGAGGGACCACCAGCUGUACAAUGCCGCCACCCUCUCCUCUCAGGGACUCAACCUCGGGGACGGGCUCUACAACUUGGCCACCCAAGCCUCCGAUCCAUCCAACAGCCUCGGCGGAGUGGUCUACACCUUCGCCGCACAAGCCUCCCAGGCAUACAACAGCCUAGGUAGCGGGCUCUACAACCUCGCCGCCCAGGGCACCCAGAGAGGCGACCUCGGCAGUGGGCUCUACAAACUCGUCGCCCAGGCCACCCAUGUAGCCGACAUCGGCGGCAGGCUCUACAACCUUGCCGCCCAGGCCACCCUGGGAGGCGACCUCGGCAGCGGAAGCAGCCGCGAUGUCGAUACCGCCGUCGUCGAGGUCGCCUCCCCAAGUGACCUGGGCGGAAUGUUUGUAGAGCCCGCCGUCGAGGUCGGCUCCCUGGGUGGCCUGGUCGGCGAGGUUGUAGAGACCGCCGCCGAGGUCGCCUCCCUGGGUGGCCUGGGCGACGAGGUUGUAGAGCCCGUUGCCGAGGCUAUUGUAUGCCAAGGAGGCUUGUGCGGCGAAGAUGUAGACUGCGCCGUUGAGGCUGUUGGAUGGCUCGGAGGCUUGGGUGGCCAACGAGAAACAGGCGAGGUAGGACAUGAGGCUCGACCUGUCAACAUCCACGACCGGCGCGGCAUCGCGCUCGUGAGUGACGGCGCGGGUUCUGCUGGCGUGUCGCCGGGCCAACCUAAGGAUCAAGAAAUGCCUGAUGAUGCAAGGCCAGGCCCAGUCGCGCGCGAAGGCGGAGAACCCAAUGCGUCGCUGAGCGCCCGCGACCCGGUCAUCCUCGACACCUCGCAACAGAUUCCUCGUGCUUCCACCCUCUCGCCACUGCCACCUCGCGCCGCCACUCUCUCACAACGCAGAUCAUCUCCGGAGGACCCUCAUGUCGCUGCCGGCGAGCAGCAGCAGCCGCAACGGCAAGCGGCGGACAAGGCGCCUCGCACCACCGAGGAGGAGCCGGCGGAUUUUACCAAUAUUUCCCGGUUUGGUUGCCUGUCUUCUCUCACUGCUGAUUUUUACCAAUGCAGUACCGUGUGCGCUUAUUUUUGUGGAUUUCUGUUGAGCAGAUCUUCGAGUGCUUGGGUUUCGCACUUCAGUUUCUGCAGUUUGUACCAGAGGAUCAACCCAGAGUCCGUUCCAGUCCCAAAUGGCAGUGGCAGCGGCAGUGGCAGCUCCACCACCAGGAAGCUAACAGAACACGCACCAUCACCCACACCAAGCAUGGACGAGCGCGACGGGGCCACAGCCGUGGACGCUGACAACUCGAGCCUCGCGUCCUACCUCGCCCGCGCCUCGCUCAAGCAGCGCUGGCCAGGAGGGCGUCCGGCAUCCUCAUCCAUUGUCAUCGUGAGCGAUCACCCACUGCACAACACCUUCGUGCACUCCUCGCAGGGACUCAACCUGGGCGGCAGCCUCUACGACUUGGCAGCCCAAGCCUCCGAGGUAUCCAACAGCCUCGGUGGCGCGGUCUACACCUUCGAUGCCCAGGCCUCCCAGGUAUACAACAGCCUCGACGGCGGCGUCUACAACCUCGCCGCCCAGGCUACCCAGGGAGCCGACCUCGGCGUGGGCGGGAUCUACAACCUCGCCGCCCAGGCCACCCAGGGAACCAACCUCGGCGGCGGCAGCAGCAGCAGCCGCAUCGCCAUCGCCGCGCCGAAAGACCCCGUCCCGCCCAAGUGGGGCCACAAGAAGCACUCGUGCGCCCGCCGCGAGCCGCACGCGCUCGCGCCCACUCAACCUCCUGCACCCGUACCGGUGCCUACUCCUGCGCCAGCACCGGUGCCCACUCCCACCUCCGCGGCUGAGCCCCAGCUGAUCCCCGCUCAGGUGCAUUGCCGGGCCAUCUUAAGGCUGAAGAAACGCCCGGCGGCGCAAGGCCAGGCCCAGCCGCGCGCGGAGGCGGAGAAGCUGAUGCCGCCGCCGAGCGCCUGUGGCCCCGUCAUCCUCGACACCUCGCCACACACUCCUCGCGCUGCGACCGUCUCGCCACUGCCACCUCACGCCGCCACCAUCACACGCCGCCACCCUCUCGCAGCACAGGCAUUGCUCAGUUUAGGUCGUGUCCGUCGUCCUUGCUUACCGAUGAUGCCGAAAAUGACAGUGACCAGAUCAUCCGCGGAGGACCCUCAUGCCGCUGCUGGCGAGCAACAGCAAGUGGCGGACAAGGCGCCUCGCACCACCGAGCAGGAGUCGGCGCCCAAGGCGGCGGACAAGGCGGCUCACGCCAGCAACGGCGAGCAGGAGCCGGCGCCCAAGGAGGAGCCUAGGCAGCCGACGCUGCAGAGGCAGCAGCCACUGCGCCAGGCAUCGAUGAAGGAGAAAGGCAAGGCGCCGAUGGUGCAGGAGCCCCCAGCGGUGGCGCGACACGUCGCACAGAGGGCGGCGGCCGCCGCGGUGGCGGCGGUGGCCCGGCCGCCCGUGCCGUUCAUCGCGACCCAGCUCACCCGCAGAGAGAAGGAGGAGGACUGGUUCUCGAUGACCGGCGGCAGGCUGCCCUACCGCCCCCAGCAGUGCCACCCCAAGGCCGUAGAAGACAAGCUCCAGACGCUGCCUGAGGUGACCAGGGCCAGGUACAUGGUGUGCCAGAAGAAGCAAAAGAAGGAGGACGACCUGAGCUCUGAGAGGUGCGAUUCCGACGACGACACGGCGGGAGAAGAAAAUCAUUUUGGCGUCGUCGAUGCGGAGGAGCGUGGUAGCCGGAGGAAGAGGGGUUGA
rnacentral:rRNA from 1 species